GACGAACGCUGGCGGCGUGCUUAACACAUGCAAGUCGAACGGAAAGGCCCUGCUUUUGUGGGGUGCUCGAGUGGCGAACGGGUGAGUAACACGUGAGUAACCUGCCCUUGACUUUGGGAUAACUUCAGGAAACUGGGGCUAAUACCGGAUAGGAGCUCCUGCUGCAUGGUGGGGGUUGGAAAGUUUCGGCGGUUGGGGAUGGACUCGCGGCUUAUCAGCUUGUUGGUGGGGUAGUGGCUUACCAAGGCUUUGACGGGUAGCCGGCCUGAGAGGGUGACCGGCCACAUUGGGACUGAGAGACGGCCCAGACGCCUACGGGAGGCAGCAGUGGGGAAUAUUGCACAAUGGGCGGAAGCCUGAUGCAGCAACGCCGCGUGCGGGAUGACGGCCUUCGGGUUGUAAACCGCUUUCGCCUGUGACGAAGCGUGAGUGACGGUAAUGGGUAAAGAAGCACCGGCUAACUACGUG
rnacentral:rRNA from 1 species